AUUUAACAUGUUAAAGACCCCGUUGGUGAGCCAGGGGCAUUUUGGUAAUUAUGACCCGAGAAGAGUAAAAUGAUGAAAUUAAUUUAAUUAUGUGCUUAAUAGAACUAUAUUAUUAUAUAGUAUGACUGUGUUGUCUUUUCAGGUGUGUUCUGACAGGUUGGCGCGGUAUAGUCACAACCGGGUAUUUUGGGCCGAACCGGGUUCGGGCCCGAAAUGCAAAUUAGAUUGAAUUAAUUGGCAUUUUAUUUGAUAAUGAGAAAUCUGAAAUUUAAUUGGGUUUGAAUUGGUGUGUAACUGUCAUUUUUGCCCUUACAUGCCUAAGUGAAUGUUAUUUGGCCCUAGGGGCAAAAUGGUCUUUUUAGACCCUUAAUUUAUGUUUAAUAAAAGAAUGAUUUUAAGGAAAAGAGAAUUAUUUUUCUAGUUUUCCUUCAGCCCUAAAACCGUACCCCUCCUCUCCUCUUCACUUAUUUCUUAAAUGUUUAGAUUUUUGUAGAUUGUUCUUGAAUUGAAGGUUUUGUAAAGUUGAAUUUCUUGUGGAUAGAAGCUUGAAGUUGUGGAAAGGGUAAGGCAUUAGCUGAUCUGCCAUGAGUUUCAGGAGCAGACGAAGAAUGUACAUGUUCACGCCACUUCAGACCAAGCGGGUUAUGGGUCUAACAGUGUUGACUUUUGUAUUCUGUUUUGCCGCUUAGGUCGGCUAGUAAGAAAGAACUUGUAAUAAGUUGUAAAUAUUUUUGGGAUCCCAACUAUUUUGAAAAGUUUAAAUAUAUUACAAGUUUUAUUUUCA